rnacentral:rRNA from 1 species
GGCCUGUGGCGGGCUGCUAUACUGCAAGUCGAGCGGACUUACAAAAGCUUGCUUUUGUAAGUUAGCGGCGGACGGGUGAGUAACACGUGGGCAACCUGCCCUUGAGACUGGGAUAACUUCGGGAAACCGGAGCUAAUACCGGAUAAUAUAAGGAACCUCCUGGUUCCUUAUUGAAAGAUGGUUUCGGCUAUCACUUGAGGAUGGGCCCGCGGCGCAUUAGCUAGUUGGUGAGGUAACGGCUCACCAAGGCGACGAUGCGUAGCCGACCUGAGAGGGUGAUCGGCCACACUGGGACUGAGACACGGCCCAGACUCCUACGGGAGGCAGCAGUAGGGAAUCUUCCACAAUGGACGAAAGUCUGAUGGAGCAACGCCGCGUGAGUGAUGAAGGCCUUCGGGUCGUAAAGCUCUGUUGUUAGGGAAGAACAAGUGCGAGAGUAACUGCUCGCACCUUGACGGUACCUAACCAGAAAGCCACGGCUAACUACGUGCCAGCAGCCGCGGUAAUACGUAGGUGGCAAGCGUUAUCCGGAAUUAUUGGGCGUAAAGCGCGCGCAGGUGGUUUCUUAAGUCUGAUGUGAAAGCCCACGGCUCAACCGUGGAGGGUCAUUGGAAACUGGGGAACUUGAGUGCAGAAAAGGAAAGUGGAAUUCCAAGUGUAGCGGUGAAAUGCGUAAAGAUUUGGAGGAACACCAGUGGCGAAGGCGACUUUCUGGUCUGUAACUGACACUGAAGGCGCGAAAGCGUGGGGAGCAAACAGGAUUAGAUACCCUGGGAAGCCCACGCCGUAAACGAUGAAUGCUAAUGGUUAGAGGGUUUCCGCCCUUUAAGGCUGCAGCUAACGCAUUAAGCCCUCCCGCCUGGGGAAUACCGGCCGCAAGACUGGAACUCCAAGGAAUUGACCGGGGGCCCGCCCAAACGGGGGAACCUGGGGGUUUAAUUCCAAA